AUUCCGUUGAUGUAGACGGCGUGAAAACGGAAACAAGAAGUAUGCCGGCUCACUGUGCUGCAUACAAUUACACACUACGUCGUACGAUUGAGACAAGGAAACUUGGAAUGACUUUUCAUAGGUUUCCCAGAGACUAUGGGUUGAGGAGGAAUUGGAAGUUUGUCGGCUUAGACCUGGUGUCAUUCCAUCAGUGUUAAACUUCCCGGCUCAUCUUGGAAGAGUACGUGCCAGAAAGACCACGACCAAGCAGCCUUGAGAUCUUAGGCAGCGUCUCCCUGAGGUCCCUCUCUAUCUCCCCACACAUCCACCAACCACUGGAACACAUCUCCAAAGUUCUGCCGGACCAGCUCAGCUUCCCCUCAGAAGAAGUGCUGCCAUCUGCCAGAUGAAGGAGCCUUUUGAGAGGCAGCUGGCAUCGUGAUUGGACUGUACUUUGGUCUGUUCCAAUCCAGCUUCAGCUCCAGAGACGGCAGGCGGGACGAGUCAACGGAGGCCUGGUGGACGAAGGCAUGCAGCUGAGUACAAUCCAGAAAACAACAGAGGAGAAGUGCAGCAGCCCAGAGCCAGAACAACCAGAGUAGCAUGACCAAAGAACUACAGACUCUUCACAACCUGCUCAAACUCUUGGUACAGGACCUCACCACACGGGUCAAGAAGGUUGCUUUGUAGAACUGUUCCAGAAAACCUCACUAAACUACAUGGAGGGGCCUCAAGAUAGUCGUCCAAAUGAAACCGUACAAAAACCAAACUAGCACAACCCAAACGCUAAAGUCUCCUGCAGCCUACCAGAGAACCUCUGAGAACAGAGAAUCAGGACAGGAACUCUUACCUUCUGGACAACCAACGUUGGUUCACAAACAAGAAUACAGAAUGUGUCUGACCAAAAACCUCUGAAGACUCACUACAGCCAAGAUAAAGACACAACUCAGCUGCAGCAAAUCCACUAAUCACUGCACACAUUAGCACCAUGUGCUAACUGUGGCUAAAGAACCACAUUUACCAAGACAACUAUCCAGUACAAAGCCCUAAAACACACCAAGAAACACAUUAAAGACUAUUUUACUGCUGGAAGCUGCAAGCCAACGCCUAAAGAUCAGACUAAAGCAAUGGAGCCAAACCCGGUUCAGUGGUGAAGAGAAGCAGAGGAAAUGUUUGUCUGCAGCUAAAUAAAGCAGGAAGACACUGAGCUGCUCAGGUGUUCCUGAUAACACCAAGCUGCUCAGGUGUUCCUGAUAACACUAAGC
ensembl:lncRNA